rnacentral:SRP_RNA from 1 species
CCGUGCUAGACGGGGAGGUAGCGGUGCCCUGUAACUCGCAAUCCGCUAUAGCGAGGUUGAAUUCCUGUCGUAGGUUCUGUUUGAUGCGGGGUCUGGCAUCUGUGAACAGUGCUGACGGUCGGGUCCUCCGCAAUUGGCUCUUGUGAACCCGGUCAGGUCCGGAAGGGAGCAGCCGUAAGCAAGUUCGUCGAUGUGCCGGGGGAGCGCCUGACCUGAGCUGGAAUCAGAAAAGCCGCCUGGGUCGCAUGAAUCGAGGAGAGGUGCACGG